rnacentral:lncRNA from 1 species
UGCUCGUCUAGAUGCCAGAGGAGGCAGGUGUGAAUAGAGUGGGGGCGGGCAAGAUGCUAGACGGGGAAAAUGUUCAACAUAAAUAUGUUUACAAUUUUCUUACAAUGUGCUAUACUUCAAAGGAGAUGAGGCUUUCAGAGCAUCUGGGGUCUUCCCUUUGAGAGAGAGAACAGGCUUGGUUUUUGGAGCACUAUGGAUUAUACCCCUUCCACUUAAAUGGCCACUUUCCUUUCACUCAGAUUCAUCCCUCGUGAAGAUGGAGAAGACAAGUUCACGUCCUGGUUCUCAAGGCUUGUGAGUGGGCAUAGAUUUGCCAGAAAAAGCAAGUUACUCGUGAUGACUUUGUCUCUCCCUUUCUGGUCCUGGCGACGUUACCAUCUUUCAUCUCUCCGGUGUGCAGGCCCUGCUCUCCAGAAUAGAGCUGAGACCGUGGACACACAUGGGCCCCAGCGCGGGAGAUGCAGAGCCGCUGUGCUGGCUGAUGGGGGAGAUGCACAGUGUCUGAGGACUCGGAACCCAGCCCAGUGUGCAGAGGUUGACCCGACAAGUGCAGCCAAAAAAUCGGUGUGAAAUUUCUGUUUUAGAAGAUGCAGCCCCUCUGCUUUAAAGGAAUCUAGUUUCUUCUGUAGGAAGGAGAAGAGUGAGGCUUGUCCCCUGGGAGUUAAGCGUUCUUCGGUGUCCAGGGACGGAAGCGAGACGAAGUGGAGGCAGAGGGAGGACAGAGCCCUCCCAUGGCACCAAACCCCAAACCUGCACCCCUAUGGAGGUCCUCAUUCUGGCCCCUGGUGAGCAGCCAGCACAGCUCCUUAACGCCCCCCUCCCCGCCCCGUUCAUCUCUCCCACCAGAGGGAACACCACUGCCUCACAGGUCACUGUGAUACGGCUUGGGAUUCCACAGGUCUUCCCCUCCCGGGCUGUGUUGGGAACGAGUGGGCCCCAGACGGCAGCCCGUUAGCAGCAGAGACGCCGAGUUUCUCUGGCUCUGUGACCCGGGGUUUGUUCCUGUGUUAGGGGUACGAUGUGAAGGAUAGCUUGCACCAUCUAUUAGGUUUGCCCAGGGUUCAGAGCUGCUGUUGUGGGGCUGACUGGGGCCGCGCCGUAGCAGGAGGGAUGGCUCCCCCAACGUGGUCCCGGAGGAAGCUCUGGGUUCUUAUGGGGCAUGCUGUGUCCCGUUAGAUGAUAAAAUUCCAAAACAAAAGUUACAAGAAUGAGGGGUUGUUAUGUUUGAUCUUAACACAAUGCAAAUUGAGCCUAAUUUUUAUUUUUUUACUCAGGUAAAAUUCACAUUAUAUAAAGUCCAUCAUUUGUCGACUCGUCCUGGGGUACCACUGUACCACUGUCUCUCCGCCCCAAACAGAAACCCCAUCCCUGCCAGCAGUUGCUCUGUUUCCUCUCCUCCCAGCCCUGGAAACCAGCAGGCUGCUUCUGAUCUCUGCUCUGAGCACAUGCAUAUGUACACUUGUUCUCAUGGCUCCUGAAUUACACCCAGAAGAGGAAUGGUGGGGCAUGAGGUAAUUCUAUUUCAGUGUUUGGGAACCGCGGGACCUUCCUUGGCUACAGCAGCAUCCCA